rnacentral:rRNA from 1 species
ACGGGGGAAAAACCAACAGGGAUUGCCCUAGUAACGGCGAGUGAAGCGGCAACAGCUCAAAUUUGAAAUCUGGCUUCGGCCCGAGUUGUAAUUUGCAGAGGAUGUUUCUGGCGCGGUGCCUUCCGAGUUCCCUGGAACGGGACGCCACAGAGGGUGAGAGCCCCGUAUGGUCGGACACCAAGCCUGUGUGAAACUCCUUCAACGAGUCGAGUAGUUUGGGAAUGCUGCUCUAAAUGGGAGGUAAAUCUCUUCUAAAGCUAAAUACCGGCCAGAGACCGAUAGCGCACAAGUAGAGUGAUCGAAAGAUGAAAAGCACCUUGAAAAGGGGGUUAAAUAGUACGUGAAAUUGUUGAAAGGGAAGCACUUAUGACCAGACUUGGGCCGGGCGGCUCAUCAGGGGUUCUCCCCUGUGCACUCCGCCCGGCACAGGCCAGCAUCGGUUUUCGCGGGGGGAUAAGACCGACGGGAACGUAGCACCCUCCGGGGUGUGUUAUAGCCCGGCGGACGAUACCCUCGCGGGGACCGAGGUCCGCGCUCCGCAAGGAUGCUGGCGUAAUGGUCAUCAGUGACCCGUCUUGAAACACGGACCAAGGAGUCGUCCAUUAGAGCGAGCGUUUGGGUGUAAAACCCGCACGCGUAAUGAAAGUGAACGCAGGUGAGAGCUUCGGCGCAUCAUCGACCGAUCCUGAUGUUCUCGGAAGGAUUUGAGUAAGAGUUUUAACGGACGGACCCGAAAGACAGUGAACUAUGCUUGUAUAGGGUGAAGCCAGAGGAAACUCUGGUGGAGGCUCGCAGCGGUUCUGACUAAAAUAUCUUCUUUUCUAU